rnacentral:rRNA from 1 species
UACGUAGGGUGCAGGCGUUACUCGGAAUUACUGGGCGUAAAGCGUGCGCAGGCGGUUUCUUAAGUCAGAUGUGAAAGCCCCGGGCUUAACCUGGGAACUGCGUUUGAAACUGGGAGACUUGAGUGUGGCAGAGGGGGGUGGAAUUCCACGUGUAGCAGUGAAAUGCGUAGAUAUGUGGAGGAACACCGAUGGCGAAGGCAGCCCCCUGGGCCUGCACUGACGCUCAUGCACGAAAGCGUGGGGAGCAAACAGG